rnacentral:rRNA from 1 species
UCAUACAAUGGCCGGUACAGAGGGCUGCCAACCCGCGAGGGGGAGCCAAUCCCAGAAAACCGGUCGUAAUCCGGAUCGUAGUCUGCAACUCGACUGCGUGAAGUCGGAAUCGCUAGUAAUCGCGGAUCAGCUUGCCGCGGUGAAUACGUUCCCGGGUCUUGUACACACCGCCCGUCACACCAUGGGAGCGGGUUCUGCCAGAAGUAGUUAGCCUAACCGCAAGGAGGGCGAUUACCACGGCAGGGUUCGUGACUGGGGUGAAGUCGUAACAAGGUAGCCGUAUCGGAA